rnacentral:lncRNA from 1 species
CCAGGCUGGCCUUGAACUUACACCACCAAUGAAAGAACCGAGUGGGGAAACCCCCACUCAACUCCUGAUUCGGCGUGCACCCAAGAAUCAGGAACAGAACACAACACCUUGAUGUAACAACACGAGGUAUUUUAAUGUCGGAGCUCCGGGUGGAAAAGUAUCUUACACAGGAGACAGUGGAUUCGACUAUGAGGCUUGGAAGCUAGGGGGUUUUAUAGAAAAGGAGUGGGGCUGGGGGAGGAAUUGGUGCGGUUUCACAUGAUUGGUCCAUUUAAACAUCAGCAGCCUGUUAACAUUUAACUUAGGUCAGAGGGGUGGGAGAUAGGGAGGCGACGGGUCUGCCCGGGCAUGUCCUGGUCUGUUCUGCUAUGUUCUCAGCCCCAGGUUUCAAAGCUCACAAACAACUCUUUGGGCCAUUUGACAUACAUUACAUGAAUCACAGGUCUCAAGUUUUAUUUCCUUUCACUCUGCCCGGCUAGAUGGUGAGAUUCUUUUUUUUUUUUUUUUUUAAUAUUUAUUUAGUUAUUAUAUGUAAGUACACUAUAGCUGUCUUCAGACACUCCAGAAGAGAGCAUCAGAUUACGUUACGGAUGGUUGUUAGCCACCAUGUGGUUGUUGGGAUUUGAACUCGGGACCUUCGGAAGAGCAGUUGGCGCUCUUAACUACUAAGCCAUCUUGCCAGCCCGAUGGUGUGAUUCUUUUUUUUUUUUUUUUUUUUUUUAAAGAUUUAUUUAUUUAUUAUAUGUAAGUACACUGUAGCUGUCUUCAGACACUCCAGAAGAGGGAGUCAGAUCUUGAUAAAGAUGGUUGUGAGCCACCAUGUGGUUGCUGGGAUUUGAACUCUGGACCUUCGGAAGAGCAGUCGGGUGCUCUUACCCACUGAGCCAUCUCACCAGCCCAGAUGGUGUGAUUCUUAAGGGCAGUAGUUGUGUCUUCUUAGUGACAACUACGGGUUGAACAUCCCUGUAUAUUUGCUUUACUUGAGUUAAACCUCACAACCUCCAUCUCAGGAACCAUACUUAAGCCUGCUUUACCUAUGAGGAAGUAGAUGUUUUGAGAAUUUAAACAAUUUCCCCAAGAUUACAAUGAGGAAGCAGCUAAACCAGGAACCAAAUGCAGGUGUGAGAAAUUCCAAAGCCCAAAUUCCUUCCCCUUCACUGCACUAUUCUUAGAGUUAUCUGUGUUGCUCACAGCUUGGCAGUGAAGAUAAAGCCAUGGAUGCCAACCUGAACUCAGAGACUAGAGAACUAAUGGAGAACCAG